rnacentral:rRNA from 1 species
CAGUCGCCACGGUAAUACAGAGGGUGCGAGCGUUAAUCGGAUUUACUGGGCGUAAAGCGUGCGUAGGCGGCUUUUUAAGUCGGAUGUGAAAUCCCUGAGCUUAACUUAGGAAUUGCAUUCGAUACUGGGAAGCUAGAGUAUGGGAGAGGAUGGUAGAAUUCCAGGUGUAGCGGUGAAAUGCGUAGAGAUCUGGAGGAAUACCGAUGGCGAAGGCAGCCAUCUGGCCUAAUACUGACGCUGAGGUACGAAAGCAUGGGGAGCAAACAGGAUUAGAUACCGCGUAGUCCUGUCUCUUAUACAC